rnacentral:rRNA from 1 species
GACGAACGCUGGCGGCGUGCUUAACACAUGCAAGUCGAACGGUGAAGCGCCUUCCUUUUUGGUGGGUGUGGAUGAGUGGCGAACGGGUGAGUAACACGUGAGUAACCUGCCCCCUUCUUCUGGAUAACCGCAUGAAAGUGUGGCUAAUACUGGAUAUUCUGGGUCUGUCGCAUGAUGGGUCUGGGAAAGAUAUUGUUUCGGUGGGGGAUGGGCUCGCGGCCUAUCAGCUUGUUGGUGGGGUGAUGGCCUACCAAGGCGGUGACGGGUAGCCGGCCUGAGAGGGUGGACGGUCACACUGGGACUGAGACACGGCACAGACUCGUACGGGAGGCAGCAGUGGGGAAUAUUGCACAAUGGGCGCAAGCCUGAUGCAGCGACGCCGCGUGAGGGAUGGAGGCCUUCGGGUUGUGAACCUCUUUCGCCAGUGAAGCAGGCCUGCCUCGUUUGUGGGUGGGUUGACGGUAGCUGGAUAAGAAGCGCCGGCUAACUACGUG